AACGAACGCUGGCGGCAUGCCUAACACAUGCAAGUCGAACGAGACCUUCGGGUCUAGUGGCGCACGGGUGCGUAACGCGUGGGAACCUGCCCUUAGGUUCGGAAUAACUCCCCGAAAGGGGUGCUAAUACCGGAUAAUGUCUUCGGACCAAAGAUUUAUCGCCUUUGGAUGGGCCCGCGUUGGAUUAGCUAGUUGGUAGGGUAAAAGCCUACCAAGGCGACGAUCCAUAGCUGGUCUGAGAGGAUGAUCAGCCACACUGGAACUGAGACACGGCCCGGACUCCUACGGGAGGCAGCAGUGGGGAAUAUUGGACAAGGGGCGAAAGCCUGAUCCAGCAAUGCCGCGUGAGUGAUGAAGGCCUUAGGGUUGUAAAGCUCUUUUACCCGGGAUGAUAAUGACAGUACCGGGAGAAUAAGCUACGGCUAACUCCGUG
rnacentral:rRNA from 1 species